rnacentral:rRNA from 1 species
GAUGAACGCUAGCGGCGCGCUUAAUGCAUGCAAGUCGAGCGAUGAGGCCUUCUUCGGAGGGCACAUCAGCGGCAGACGGGUGAGUAACACGUGGGUGACCUGCCCUUGAGACGGGGAUAACGGAUGGAAACAUGCGCUAAUACCCGAUAGGGUCCCAGGGUCAAAGCUGGGAUGAAAGCUUUGGUGCUCAAGGAGGGGCCCGCGGCCCAUCAGCUAGUUGGUGAGGUAACGGCUCACCAAGGCGAAGACGGGUAGGGGGUGUGAGAGCACGGNCCCCCACAAUGGGACUGAGACACGGCCCAUACUCCUACGGGAGGCAGCAGCAGGGAAUAUUGCACAAUGGACGGAAGUCUGAUGCAGCGACGCCGCGUGGAUGAUGAAGGCCUUCGGGUUGUAAAAUCCUUUACGGGGUGACGAGGAAGGACGGUAGCCCCGGAACAAGCGUCGGCUAACUACGUGCCAGCAGCCGCGGUAAGACGUAGGACGCAAGCGUUAUCCGGAUUUACUGGGCGUAAAGCGUCUGUAGGCGGAUGAGUAAGUUGGGCGUGAAAGCUCCGGGCUCAACCCGGAGAGGCCGUUCAAUACUGCUGAUCUAGAGGAGGCCAGAGGGGAGUGGAAUUCCUGGAGUAGCGGUAAAAUGCGCAGAUAUCAGGAAGAACACCAGUGGCGAAGGCGGCUCCCUAGGGCCCACCUGACGCUGAGAGACGACAGCUAGGGGAGCGAACAGGAUUAGAGACCCUGGUAGUCCUAGCCGUAAACGAUGGAUGCUAGGUGUAGGGCCGUAGAGGCUCUGUGCCGGAGCGAACGCGAUUAGCAUUCCGGCUGGGGAGUACGGCCGCAAGGCUAAAACUCAAACGAAUUGACGGGGAACCGUGCAAGCAGCGGAGCGUGUGGUUUAAUUCGAUGCUACACGAAGAACCUUACCUGGGUUUGACCUGGGCGUGGUAGUGAAGCGAAAGCCGGAGCGAACCCUUCGGGGAGCGUCCACUAGGUGCUGCAUGGCUGUCGUCUAGCUCGUGCCGUGAGUUGUCGGGUUAAGUCCCGUAACGAGCGCAACCCUUGCCCUUAGUUACAAGUGUCUAAGGGGACUGCCGGCGGGUAGCCGGAGGAAGGUGGGGAUGACGUCAAGUCAGCAUGGCCCUUAUAUCCAGGGCUACAACUACGCUACAAUGGCCGGUACAGAGGCAGCGAACCGCGAGGUGGAGCGAAUCCAGAUACCGUCGUAGUUCGGAUGCAGGCUCAACCCGCCUGCAUGAAGCUGGAGUUGCUAGUACCGCGCGUCAGCAU